rnacentral:rRNA from 1 species
CUUGCGUCUGAUUAGCUAGUUGGUGGGGUAAGGGCCUACCAAGGCGACGAUCAGUAGCUGGUCUGAGAGGAUGAGCAGCCACACUGGGACUGAGACACGGCCCAGACUCCUACGGGAGGCAGCAGUGGGGAAUUUUCCGCAAUGGGCGAAAGCCUGACGGAGCAACGCCGCGUGAGGGAGGAAGGUCCUUGGAUUGUAAAUAGAC